rnacentral:rRNA from 1 species
CACGUAGGCGGCAAGGUAAGUCAAAGGUGAAAGCCCUCGGCUCAACCGAGGAACUGCCUUUGAAACUGCGUUGCUUGAGUCCGGGAGAGGGGAGCGGAAUUCCCAGUGUAGCGGUGAAAUGCGUAGAUACUGGGAGGAACACCGGUGGCGAAGGCGGCUCCCUGGACCGGUACUGACGCUGAGGUGCGAAAGCGUGGGUAGCAAACA